rnacentral:rRNA from 1 species
UACGUAGGUGACGAGCGUUGUCCGGAUUUACUGGGCGUAAAGAGCGCGCAGGCGGUCGUUCAAGUCGAGUGUGAAAGCCCCCGGCUCAACUGGGGAGGGUCACUCGAUACUGAUCGACUCGAAGGCAGGAGAGGGUAGUGGAAUUCCCCGGUGUAGUGGGUGAAAUGCGUAGAUAUCGGGGAGGAACACCAGUGGCGAAGGCGACUACCUGGCCUGUUCUUGACGCUGAGGCGCGAAAGCUAGGGGAGCAAACGGG